rnacentral:rRNA from 1 species
UUGAACGCUGGCGGCAGGCCUAACACCUGCAAGUCGAGCGGAUGAAGGGAGCUUGCUCCUGGAUUCAGCGGCGGACGGGUGAGUAAUGCCUAGGAAUCUGCCUGGUAGUGGGGGAUAACGUCCGGAAACGGGCGCUAAUACCGCAUACGUCCUGAGGGAGAAAGUGGGGGAUCUUCGGACCUCACGCUAUCAGAUGAGCCUAGGUCGGAUUAGCUAGUUGGUGGGGUAAAGGCCUACCAAGGCGACGAUCCGUAACUGGUCUGAGAGGAUGAUCAGUCACACUGGAACGGAGACACGGUCCAGACUCCUACGGGAGGCAGCAGUGGGGAAUAUUGGACAAUGGGCGAAAGCCUGAUCCAGCAAUGCCGGGGGUGUGAAGAAGGUCUUCGGAUUGUAAAGCACUUUAAGUUGGGAGGAAGGGAAGUAAGUUAAUACCUUGAUGUUUUGACGUUACCAAAAGAAUAAGCACCGGCUAACUUCGUG